GCUGGGCGUGGUGGUGCAUGCCUGUAGUCUCAGCUAUUUGGGAGGCUGAGGCAGGAGGAUCUCUUGAGCCCAGGAGGUCGAGGCUACAGUGAGCCAUGAUCACACCACUGCGGUCCAGCCUGGGCAACAGAGCAAGACCCUGCCUCAA
ensembl:misc_RNA Metazoa_SRP Metazoan signal recognition particle RNA